ACAUGCUUACAAAAUAGCGUUAAUGCAUCAGAUUCUAUUAGAAAUCCAUAGUUAAGUGUGCUCGGGGUAGAGUAGUACUGGGAUGGGUGACCUCCUGGGAAGUCCUAGUGUUUUACAUGCC
rfam:Picea glauca, whole genome shotgun sequence.